AAUGUACCCUAGUACAAUUUAUUUGACAGUACUGUAUCUCUUACUAGUUUAAAUAUGAAAUCCUUGCUCGAAUCCCACUGAAAAAAGGAACCAUUCUGGAGUAGUCCUAAUUAUCGGCAACACUUCAUUUUAAGGGAUCAUGUAAUUACACUGUAGCAGGGAUGUAACAACGGAAUGCUUGUUACCAUGCUUGUUACAAAUGUUAAAGUUUCCCGAAAGCAUCUCAAUACCCGAAUUUCAGCCUUCCGAAGUGAUUGCCACAAGGUUUCAGACGUCAGGAUGGGAAAAUGCUUACAAGAAAGAAACAGAGUUGUCAGAGACAGAGUUGGCAACUUCCAUUGUUACUUGUAAUGUCAAAAAGGGAAGAAAAAGACAAUCCCAUUUUUCUAAAUUAGCUAUCUAAGCUACUUACCGUACUAUAGGCUAAAGAUUUGAGACAUCACUAGAAUAGUUAUUUUUAUGUUAUUGAGAAAGCCUAUGUAUCUUUGUUUAAUCCAAUUAAUCUAUUAAUCUAACAAUAAAAUGUUGCAAUAAAGUUGACUAAAAUAGAAACUCAUCUUUUAUUUGUAAGUAUUUUUACUUGUUAAUGAGUAAUAAGUAAUAAUAUAGAAAUUGCUCAAAGGUAACUAUAAAGUUACACUUCACUUUAACACUUUAAAUAGCAAAAUCCUGUGUAACAACUAGCGACAACCUUGUACUUUUGCAGAUAUUACAGAUAUGUACUCUUUUGUGAAGGAAAUUUUACUUUGUGUAUCUUGUCUUUGGUGUCAUAAACAAUCCUUGAUUCCUACCUAUGUCUGGUAGAGAUAUGGGGGGGCAUCAUGACCUCCUCCUUUAUACUAUUUGGCAGAACGCCCAGAAUAUGUUCAAUAAAUUAAGAUAGGAGAUGGUGCCAGACACAUGGAACCAACCCUAUAAACUAUGCAUGCCUAUCUAACGUGUCUGUAACCAGUAUAUAAGGGAACAAAACAGGAUUGUCCCGUUAGAGCUCCUGACAGACAUGUACAUAUGGUGCAUUGAGUUGGUUGGAACCUCUCCAGCG
rnacentral:lncRNA from 1 species